AGUAGUCACGAGUUUGAUCAUGGCUCAGAUUGAACGCUGGCGGCAGGCCUAACACAUGCAAGUCGAGCGGGGUUUCGGACCUAGCGGCGGACGGGUGAGUAAUGCGUAGGAAGCUACCCGAUAGAGGGGGAUACCAGUUGGAAACGACUGUUAAUACCGCAUAAUGUCUACGGACCAAAGUGUGGGACCUUCGGGCCACAUGCUAUCGGAUGCGCCUACGUGGGAUUAGGUAGUUGGUGAGGUAAAGGCUCACCAAGCCGACGAUCUGUAGCUGGUCUGAGAGGACGACCAGCCACACUGGGACUGAGACACGGCCCAGACUCCUACGGGAGGCAGCAGUGGGGAAUUUUGGACAAUGGGCGCAAGCCUGAUCCAGCAAUGCCGCGUGCAGGAUGAAGGCCUUCGGGUUGUAAACUGCUUUUGUACGGAACGAAACGGUGAGCUCUAAUACAGUUUGCUAAUGACGGUACCGUAAGAAUAAGCACCGGCUAACUACGUG
rnacentral:rRNA from 1 species